AGAAAAGGGUGCAGACGAGGAAGCCUUCA
rnacentral:piRNA from 1 species